rnacentral:rRNA from 1 species
AAUAGAUACCCUGGUAGUCCACGCCGUAAACGAUGGAUGCUAGCUGUUAUGCGUAUCGACCCGUGUAGUAGCGAAGCUAACGCGUUAAGCAUCCCGCCUGGGGAGUACGAACGCAAGUUUAAAACUCAAAGGAAUUGACGGGGACCCGCACAAGCGGUGGAGCGUGUUCUUUAAUUCGAGGCUAAGCGAAGAACCUUACCAGGGCUUGACAUCCUUGGAAUUUCUCCGAAAGGAGAGAGUACUUUAUUGGACCAAGUGACAGGUGCUGCAUGGCCGUCGUCAGCUCGUGUCGUGAGAUGUUUGGUUAAGUCCAUUAACGAGCGCAACCCUUAUGAAUAGUUGUAUUUUUCUAUUCAGACUGCCCCGGUAACGGGGAGGAAGGGGGGAUGAUGUCAGGUCAGUAUUGCCCUUGCGCCCUGGGCUAGAAACGCGCUACAAUGGCCGGUACAAUGCGCUGCCAACCCGCGAGGGGGAGCAAAUCGCAUCAAAGCCGGUCCCAGUUCGGAUAAGAGGCCGAAACUCGCCUCUUUGAAGCCGGAAUCGCUAGUAAUCGU